CAGCAGCCGCGGGAAUACGAAGGGUGCAAGCGUUAAUCGGAAUUACUGGGCGUAAAGCGCGCGUAGGUGGUUCAUUAAGUUGGAUGUGAAAGCCCUGGGCUCAACCUGGGAACUGCAUCCAAACUGGUGAGCUAGAGUACGGUAGAGGGUAGUGGAAUUUCCUGUGUAGCGGUGAAAUGCGUAGAUAUAGGAAGGAACACCAGUGGCGAAGGCGACUACCUGGACUGAUACUGACACUGAGGUGCGAAAGCGUGGGGAGCAAACAGGAUUAGAGACCCCAGUAGUCCCUGUCUCUUAUACC
rnacentral:rRNA from 1 species